rnacentral:rRNA from 1 species
AUCGAACGCUGGCGGCAGGCCUAACACAUGCAAGUCGAACGAGUGGCGGACGGGUGAGUAAUGUCUGGGAAACUGCCUGAUGGAGGGGGAUAACUACUGGAAACGGUAGCUAAUACCGCAUACCAUCGGAUGUGCCCAGAUGGGCUUAGCUGGUAGGUGGGGUAACGGCUCACCUAGGCGACGAUCCCUAGCUGGUCUGAGAGGAUGACCAGCCACACUGGAGCUGGGACACGGUCCAUAGUCCUACGAGAGGCAGCAGUGGGGAAUAUUGCACAAUAGGCGCAAGCCUGAUGCAGCCAUGCCGCGUGUAUGAAGAAGGCCUUCGGGUUGUAAAGUACUUUCAGCGGGGAGGCGUUACCCGCAGAAGAAGCACCGGCUAACUCCGUGCCAGCAGCCGCGGUAAUUC